GACGAACGCUGGCGGCGUGGAUUAGGCAUGCAAGUCGAACGGUAGGAUACCUUCGGGUAUCUGAGAGUGGCGAACGGGUGAGUAACACGUAGGUGAUCUACCCUCAAGAUUGGGACAACCCAGGGAAACUUGGGCUAAUACCGGAUGAAAGCAGCAGUGAUGUUGUUUGAAAGGUGGCGUAAGCUGCCGUUUGGGGAUGAGCCUGCGCUCUAUUAGUUAGUUGGCGGGGUAAAGGCCCACCAAGGCGAUGAUAGAUAGGCGGCCUUAACGGGUGGUCGCCCACACUGGGAUUGAGAUACGGCCCAGACUCCUACGGGAGGCAGCAGUCGAGAAUAGUCUACAAUGGCCGAAAGGCUGAUAGUGCGACGCCGCGUGAACGAAGAAGCCCUUCGGGGUGUAAAGUUCUUUUAUAUGUGAGCAGUGCUUUCUAUGUGAACAGCAUGGGGAAGAGAUAUUAGCAUAUGAAUAAGCAACGGCUAACUCCGUGCCAGCAGCCG
rnacentral:rRNA from 1 species